AUUGAACGCUGGCGGCAUGCUUUACACAUGCAAGUCGAACGGUAACAGGCCUUCGGGUGCUGACGAGUGGCGAACGGGUGAGUAAUGCAUCGGAACGUGCCCAGAGGUGGGGGAUAACGCAGCGAAAGCUGUGCUAAUACCGCAUGUGAUCUGAGGAUGAAAGCGGGGGACCAGGCAGCAAUGUUUGGCCUCGCGCCUUUGGAGCGGCCGAUGUCAGAUUAGGUAGUUGGUGGGGUAAAGGCCUACCAAGCCGACGAUCUGUAGCUGGUCUGAGAGGACGAUCAGCCACACUGGGACUGAGACACGGCCCAGACUCCUACGGGAGGCAGCAGUGGGGAAUUUUGGACAAUGGGCGCAAGCCUGAUCCAGCAAUGCCGCGUGCGGGAAGAAGGUCUUCGGGUUGUAAACCGCUUUUGUACGGAACGAAAAGGCGCUGGCUAAUACCUGGGGCUGAUGACGGUACCGUAAGAAUAAGCACCGGCUAACUACGUG
rnacentral:rRNA from 1 species